ACUUCCUCGCCAGAGAAACUGCUGCCGGCCCCGGAGGUGGGGAAGGGUUAACGCUACCGAGUCUCCAGACCCGCGGAAGCCUAGAGGGCCUUGCACCGGCUCACCGCGUGGCUGUCGCCGUCUGGUGUCCCCAGUGGGGGAGGCGUCGCACUGCCACGUCUGUUCUGUGUGGCUGUCGGGGCCCGGGAGCCUCGCCGGGUAAGGGUCGCCGCCCAGCUGCGCGCGCCGCGUCCUCGGGCUUCCCGCGGCCCGGCCGGCAGUGCUCGAGCUGUUGCUGGGCUCGUCGCAGCCUCCUCGACGUAGAGGCAUUUUGUCCGGGUCGGGCCACUGGCUAGCUCAGAAACAACGGCCCCCCGAGGGUUUUGUACCGUUUUCUAGGUCUCGUGACGCAUUCCCCACAACUAUUUUUUCUUGUGAGGUAGGUUUGAACCUGUGAAAUAGGUACUUUUUCUACCUCUCCUUGACAGAGAAACGAAGACCUAAUGACUUGCUCAGGGUCACAUAGCUCAGCAGUGGCGGCGGCUAAUCGGAAAUAGCUCUCCUGUUGUGAUAUCUUCUGCGUUUUCCACUCCAGUAUUCUUCCCAGGAAAAUGGGAACCUUGUUUUCAUCUCGUAUCUCAUGCAGCGCCUAACAUAGUCACCUGGAUAAGAUAAGCAUUCCACACAUAUUUACUGAAUCAUAGUUAUAAGAAUCUAAGUGUUUUGGGUGUUCGGUGAUCUCUGAAUUAAUCAGUUUUUGUAAUGUCAGUCUGUACCAGUUGAGGGAUUAUUUAAUAAGUCCAGUAUGAGUGGUUUCCGAAUUACCAGUUUUUGUAACGUCAGCCUAUAGCAGUCAAGGGACUAUUAAGUCAGCUAUGCGUAGCCAGUGUUACAGAGCUGAGUAAGACGUCUUUGUCCUUGACUGGGCGCGGUGGCUCAAACCUGUAAUCCUAGCACUUUGGGAGGCCGAGGCGGGUGGAUCACGAGGUCAGGAGAUGGAGACCAUCCUGGCUAACAUGGUGAAACCCCGUCUCUACUAAAAAUACAAAAAACUAGCCGGGCGAGGUGGCGGGCGCCUGUAGUCCCAGCUACUCGGAGGCUGAGGCAGGAGAAUGGCGUGAACCCGGGAGGCGGAGGUUGCAGUGAGCCGAGAUCGCGCCACUGUACCCCAGCCUGGGCGACACAGCGAGACUCCGUCUCAAAAAAAAAAAAGACGUCUUUGUCCUUAAGCAGUCUAUUGAAAGGACUGAGGCAAUGUCAUGAAUAUCAGUAACACAAAGUAAGAAUAGGACAUAAACUGAAUUCUGUGAGAACUCCGAGAAAAUCAAAGUUGAUUUGGGGUUGGGGAAAUUAUAAAAGACCUUUUGUCCACAGGGAUUUUGUCCACAGCAGGGUAUGGAGACACAUUCCAGGCAGAGGGAAGGGUGGGAGUAAAGGCUUUAAAAGCUGGAAAUUAUUAGAGUGUGAGAUCUUAAGUACGUUUUUACUGAGUUGGGCUGCAUUUAGAGGAAGAGUUUUAAAAGUUAGAAAACGAGUUUAUGUAGAACUUAUACUGCAGUCCUUUGAAUGGGAAUGAAAAGAGUGCAUUUAAGAAAGUAAAUCCUGAGGGGCCGGGCGCGGUGGCUCAAGCCUGUAAUCCCUGCACUUUGGGAGGCUGAGAUGGGCGGAUCACAAGGUCAGGAAAUCGAGACCAUCCUGGCUAACAUGGUGAAACCCCGUCUCUACUAAAAAAUACAAAAAAAAACUAGCUGGGCGCAGUGGCGGGCGCCUGUAGUUCCGGCUACUCGGGAGGCUGAGGCAGGAGAAUGGCGUAAACCCGGGAGGCGGAGCUUGCAGUGAGCUGAGAUCUGGCCACUGCACUCCAGCGUGGCCAACAGAGCGAGACUCCGUAUCAAAAAAAAAAAAAAAGAAAAAAGAAAGUAAAUCCUGGAGCACCAUUUGAGCAUUUUUGACCGAGCUUCUUUCUAGGGCAGUUCAUCUAAGGUAAGUUUAAGGUGAGAAUGAAGAUGAGAGGCCAUUGCCAGGUCAUUAUGCUAUGUUUGCUUUUGGAUAGGAUAGGAUGUAACUCAUCUUAGGCAUAGAUCUUGAUCCCUUUUAAGUGAGAGAGAAAGAUAAACAGAUUUAAUAAUGAGCGUCUGCCUAAGUCACUUGAAUAUGUGUCUAAGUAGGUUCAUUUCCUUAAUAUCUCAGCCAGGUUGGGACUUCAUUUCUUCAGAAGUAAGUAUUGUUCUCAGUCUAUCAGAACCAGUGGACAGUAACGCCCUCAGCAUUAAGAUUCUUAUCACUUGGCCCAAUGCUGAAUAUAUAAUUAGCAUUUAUUAAGUUGAAUAAGUGAAGUUCUGCUAGCAGUGCUAAGCAGUGCCCUUGGAUAUCGUUGACAGGCCUGAUUCAUAAUAUAGUUAGGAAGUUGGUUAAAGGGAGAAGAAAAUGGAAAAGGGAUUCAUGGGAAAAAGAGGCAUGCAAGGCACAAAUUGUGAAUAGUGAAUGAGGGCCACUGAUGAUUUUCAUUAUGUGAGGUUUGCUGCCAUAGUGGCUUAUCCUUUGAAGCCCACAAAUGUUUCUCGAGCCUUUCCUUUUGGUUUCAUUCACCUCCCCUUGCUUGGGCACUGUUUUAGAGAUGAUGACCAUAGCUGGCGCAGUGGCUCACACCUGUAAUCCCAGCUCUUUGGGAGGCCUAUGUGGGUGGAUCACUUGAGGUCAGGAGUUCGAGCCCAGCCUGACCAACAUGGCAAAACCUUGUCUCUACUAAAAAUACAAAAAUUAGCGGGGCAUGGCGGUGCGUGCCUGUAAUCCCAGCUACUUGGGAGGCUGAGGCACGAGAAUGGCUUUAACCCUGAAGGCAGAGGUUGCAGUGAGCUGAGAUUGCGCCACUGCACUCCAGCCUGGGCGACAGAGCCAGACACCAUCUCAAAAAAAAAAAAAA
rnacentral:lncRNA from 1 species